AUGGAUCUGUAUUUUAGGGCCUAAAAAGAAGCGCUGCACAUAUCAUCAAGUAUCAAGUAUGUUACAAUAACAUUAAUAAAAAUCAGUGACUGUCUGUCUCUUUCAGCUGGUCCAGAGGGUCUUAGCUUUUUUGGUCCAGAUGCAGUCACCGUGGGAGUGCCCUCUAGCAUUGAAUGCUUUGCCCAGUGUUCACCUGAAUGCAAUUACACAAUUGGUUUUGAUGGCCAGAGUUUGGAAGGCAAUGAGCUGGCGUUUACUUUAAAGCAAUGGGUGAGCUCCAUAACAGUAACCUGCACAGCCAAAAACCCUUCUACACAAAAGUCCUCCAGCAUCAGCAAGACUCUACAGAUAUUGGAGGGACCAGUGAACGUUUCCAUCAGUGGCCCAUUUAAUAUUACCUCUGGAGACGGUCAGCAGUUUUUAUGCAGUGCAACCUGCAGACCCUCCUGUAACUACACCUGGGUGGUUGAUGGAGAGUCAGUUGCUGGGUCUGGAAAUGAGGUGAUCAUCAAGCAGCCUAAAGAGGCCACCGCAGAGACCCUCGUCUGCAAAGCCACAAACAGCAUAUCAGGAUUGUUUGUCACAGCAAUCCAUGAAUUCAGUUCUUCAAGAGACUCUGCUGGGUCCUCAUCAGAGAAAAUGGAGCUGCUGCCAAAACUGCUGUUUUCAUGCAUGAUGUCUGUUUUCUUAUUAGUAGUUAUUCCAUCAUGA
rnacentral:lncRNA from 1 species